UAGGGAAUAUUGCGCAAUGAGCGAAAGCUUGACGCAGCCAUGCCGCGUGAGUGAUGAAGGCCUUCGGGUCGUAAAGCUCUUUUCUGAGGGAAGAACGGCCGGUGCAGGCAAUGGCGCCGGAUUGACGGUACCUCAGGAAUAAGGAACGGCUAACUCCGUGCCAGCAGCCGCGGUAAUACGGAGGUUCCAAGCGUUGUUCGGAAUUACUGGGCGUAAAGGGAGCGCAGGUGGGCGGUCCAGUCCAAAGUGGAAGCCCGGGGCUUAACCCCGGAAGGGCUUUGGAUACUAGCCGUCUUGAGUACGCGAGAGGAAGGCGGAAUUCAGGGUGUAGCGGUGAAAUGCUUAGAUAUCCUGAGGAACACCGGUGCGAAAGCGGCCUUCUGGCGCGAAACUGACACU
rnacentral:rRNA from 1 species